rnacentral:rRNA from 1 species
GACGGAGGGUGCAAGCGUUGUUCGGAUUGACUGGGCGUAAAGGGCGUGUAGGCGGUUGGUCAAGUCUGGUGUGAAAGCCCGGGGCUUAACCCCGGAAGUGCGCUGGAAACUAGCCAGCUAGAGCGCGAGAGAGGAGGGUGGAAUUCCUGGUGUAGCGGUGAAAUGCGUAGAUAUCAGGAGGAACACCGGCGGCGAAGGCGGCCCUCUGGCUCGUUGCUGACGCUGAAACGCGAAAGCGUGGGGAGCAAACAGG